GACGUAGGGCGCGAGCGUUGUCCGGAUUUAUUGGGCGUAAAGAGCUCGUAGGCGGCUUGUCGCGUCGUCCGUGAAAACCUGCAGCUCAACUGCAGGCUUGCGGUCGAUACGGGCAGGCUGGAGUUCGGUAGGGGAGACUGGAAUCCCUGGUGUAGCGGUGAAAUGCGCAGAUAUCAGGAAGAACACCUAUGGCGAAGGCAGCUCUCUGGGACGGUACUGACGCUGAGGUGCGAAAGCGUGGGGAGCAAACAGG
rnacentral:rRNA from 1 species